rnacentral:rRNA from 1 species
GACGAACGCUGGCGGCGUGCCUAACACAUGCAAGUCGAGCGAAUGAAGUUCCUUCGGGAACGGAUUUAGCGGCGGACGGGUGAGUAACACGUGGGCAACCUGCCUCAUAGAGGGGAAUAGCCUUCCGAAAGGGAGAUUAAUACCGCAUAAGAUUGUAGUACCGCAUGGUACAGCAAUUAAAGGAGCAAUCCGCUAUGAGAUGGGCCCGCGGCGCAUUAGCUAGUUGGUGAGGUAACGGCUCACCAAGGCGACGAUGCGUAGCCGACCUGAGAGGGUGAUCGGCCACAUUGGGACUGAGACACGGCCCAGACUCCUACGGGAGGCAGCAGUGGGGAAUAUUGCACAAUGGGGGAAACCCUGAUGCAGCAACGCCGCGUGAGUGAUGACGGCCUUCGGGUUGUAAAGCUCUGUCUUCAGGGACGAUAAUGACGGUACCUGAGGAGGAAGCCACGGCUAACUACGUGCCAGCCGCCGCAGUAAGAC